GGAAACCGACUGCCAAUCGCUGGACUUACGUCAGACUCCACACAAACGGGCAAACAUGGAAACCGAAUGCCAAUCGCUGGACUUACAUCAGACUCCGAACCAACAAACACACACAGGAAACCAACUGCCAAUCGCUGGACUUAUGUCAGACUCCAGACAAAGACACACACAAACUGGAAACCGAAUGCCAAUCGCUGGACUUACAUCAGACUCCAACCAGAAAAUGAUAACAAACACAC
rnacentral:lncRNA from 1 species